UACGUAGGGUGCGAGCGUUGUCCGGAAUUACUGGGCGUAAAGAGCUCGUAGGUGGUUUGUCGCGUUGUUCGUGAAAUGCCACAGCUUAACUGUGGGCGUGCGGGCGAUACGGGCAGACUGGAGUACUGCAGGGGAGACUGGAAUUCCUGGUGUAGCGGUGGAAUGACGCAGAUAUCAGGAGGAACACCGGUGGCGAAGGCGGGUCUCUGGGCAGUAACUGACGCUGGAGGAGCGAAAGCGUGGGGAGCGAACAGG
rnacentral:rRNA from 1 species